UACGUAGGGGGCAAGCGUUGUUCGGAUUUACUGGGCGUAAAGGGCGCGUAGGCGGUCAGCACAAGUCAGUUGUGAAAUCUCCGGGCUUAACUCGGAAAGGUCAACUGAUACUGUGCGACUAGAGUGCAGAAGGGGCAACUGGAAUUCUCGGUGUAGCGGUGAAAUGCGUAGAUAUCGAGAGGAACACCUGCGGCGAAGGCGGGUUGCUGGGCUGACACUGACGCUGAUGCGCGAAAGCCAGGGGAGCGAACGGG
rnacentral:rRNA from 1 species